rnacentral:rRNA from 1 species
CCUACAGGUGGCAGCAGUGAGGAAUAUUGGUCAAUGGACGAGAGUCUGAACCAGCCAAGUAGCGUGAAGGAUGACUGCCCUAUGGGUUGUAAACUUCUUUUAUAAAGGAAUAAAACGAGGCACGUGUGCCUUUAUGCAUGUCUUUUAUGAAUCCGGAUCGGCUAACUCCGUGCCAGCAGCCGCGGUAAUACGGAGGAUCCGAGCGUUAUCCGGAUUUAUUGGGUUUAAAGGGAGCGUAGUUGGGUUGUUAAGUCAGUUGUGAAAGUUUGCGGCUCAACCGUAAAAUUGCAAUUGAUACUGGCAGUCUUGAGUACAGUUGAGGUAGGCGGAAUUCGUGGUGUAGCGGUGAAAUGCUUAGAUAUAAGGAAGAACCCCGAUUGCGAAGGCAGCUUACUAAACUGUGACUGACAUUGAUGCUCGAAAGUGUGGGUAUCAAACAGGAUUAGAUACCCCUGUAGUC